GGGCGUCGACCGGCGCACGGGUGAGUAACGCGUAUCCAACCUGCCCAUCACUUGGGGAUAACCUUGCGAAAGUAAGACUAAUACCCAAUGACGUCUCUAGAAGACAUCUGAAAGAGAUUAAAGAUUUAUCGGUGAUGGAUGGGGAUGCGUCUGAUUAGCUUGUUGGCGGGGUAACGGCCCACCAAGGCGACGAUCAGUAGGGGUUCUGAGAGGAAGGUCCCCCACAUUGGAACUGAGACACGGUCCAAACUCCUACGGGAGGCAGCAGUGAGGAAUAUUGGUCAAUGGGCGAGAGCCUGAACCAGCCAAGUAGCGUGCAGGAUGACGGCCCUAUGGGUUGUAAACUGCUUUUAUAAGGGAAUAAAGUGAGUCUCGUGAGGCUUUUUGCAUGUACCUUAUGAAUAAGGACCGGCUAAUUCCGUGCCAGCAGCCGCGGUAAUACGGAAGGUCCGGGCGUUAUCCGGGUUUAUUGGGUUUAAAGGGAGCGUAGGCCGGAGAUUAAGCGUGUUGUGAAAUGUAGACGCUCAACGUCUGCACUGCAGCGCGAACUGGUUUCCUUGAGUACGCACAAAGUGGGCGGAAUUCGUGGUGUAGCGGUGAAAUGCUUAGAUAUCACGAAGAACUCCGAUUGCGAAGGC
rnacentral:rRNA from 1 species